UUGCUUACAAAUCCUCUGUAAAAUGGUCCACUCUGCCUAACAAUGAUUAUUACCUGUGUCUUCUCCCUCUGUGGAGUCGCACACUCCUUAUGAAGCGGCGGGGCAUGUUCUAACUCUCCCUGUCUCCCUGCUGCUCAGCACAGAGCCUGGUACAGCUGUGAUGAGGUGAGUCACAGAACGCCGUGGAGAUGAAGGCUUAGUGAUGUUACAGAAGGCCUGAAGCAUACAGAUAUUCCAAGUAUCAGUGGGUCAGAAUGUAACAGAACAAGAUGUACAGGGCAGGAAGGAAAGCCCAGGUGAGACGGAAGUAGCAGGUCAGGAAGGAGAGAAGGAGGAGGGCACCGUGCUGGGGAGCACGGAUCUGCAUCACGUGUCCAGGGAGAGGGUGUGGCCUCCUUUGCCGCACACAACACACAGACCCGGGAGGGCAGAGGCACAACCAACCAAUUGUAUCUCAGUCGUCAGGCCAUUUUUGACAAUCGUAGAGGACAGUCAAGGAGUGUUGGAGACAAAAGCCAGAUAUUUGUGGAAGGUGAAAAGCAGAGCUAGAGUUCCAGUCCAUUGCUUUGAAAUUUCUGAAUUCUCAAAAAAGAAGAGACAUUUGAUGUAGACAGAGAGGAAAAUGGCAUCAAAGGUGGUUUUCUUUAUCAGGAGAGAGGGGAAGAAGGUAGAGAUACAGAAAAGGGGAAGACGGCUGGAGGAAUGGAAGAGACCUGAAAGCGAGGGAUUCAUUCAUCUGGCCUAGAGGACGUGGGCCUGAGAAAGGAACGAUUCCUUCUCUGAGACAAUGAGACAGGUCAUGAAGAGCUGCGUGAAGGUGGGUGGAGCAGUCGCUGCUCAGUAGCCUAUGCGACCCGGUGAAGGAGGUAAAAGAAGGCGCUGAAAGGGGACAAUAGAGACAGAAGGUGACGCCAAAAGAUCAGAAGGAAG
rnacentral:lncRNA from 1 species